GGUUAAGCGACUAAGCGUACACGGUGGAUGCCCUGGCAGUCAGAGGCGAUGAAGGACGUGCUAAUCUGCGAAAAGCGCCGGCGAGGUGAUAUGAACCUUUGACCCGGCGAUGUCCGAAUGGGGAAACCCAGUGUGAUUCGUCACACUAUCGUUAACUGAAUACAUAGGUUAACGAGGCGAACCGGGGGAACUGAAACAUCUAAGUACCCCGAGGAAAAGAAAUCAACCGAGAUUCCCCCAGUAGCGGCGAGCGAACGGGGAGCAGCCCAGAGUCUGAAUCAGCUUGUGUGUUAGUGGAAGCGUCUGGAAAGUCGCACGGUACAGGGUGACAGUCCCGUACACGAAAAUGCACAGGUUGUGAACUCGAAGAGUAGGGCGGGACACGUGGUAUCCUGUCUGAAUAUGGGGGGACCAUCCUCCAAGGCUAAAUACUCCUGACUGACCGAUAGUGAACCAGUACCGUGAGGGAAAGGCGAAAAGAACCCCGGCGAGGGGAGUGAAAAAGAACCUGAAACCGUGUACGUACAAGCAGUGGGAGCACCUUCGUGGUGUGACUGCGUACCUUUUGUAUAAUGGGUCA
rnacentral:rRNA from 1 species